rnacentral:rRNA from 1 species
AUGCACGCUGGCGGCGUGCCUAAUACAUGCCAGUCGAGCGAACGGACGAGAAGCUUGCUUCUCUGAUGUUAGCGGCGGACGGGUGAGUAACACGUGGAUAACCUACCUAUAAGACUGGGUUAACUUCGGGAAACCGGAGCUAAUACCGGAUAAUAUUUUGAACCGCAUGGUUCAAAAGUGAAAGACGGUCUUGCUGUCACUUAUAGAUGGAUCCGCGCUGCAUUAGCUAGUUGGUAAGGUAACGGCUUACCAAGGCAACGAUGCGUAGCCGACCUGAGAGGGUGAUCGGCCACACUGGAACUGAGACACGGUCCAGACUCCUACGGGAGGCAGCAGUAGGGAAUCUUCCGCAAUGGGCGAAAGCCUGACGGAGCAACGCCGCGUGAGUGAUGAAGGUCUUCGGAUCGUAAAACUCUGUUAUUAGGGAAGAACAUAUGUGUAAGUAACUGUGCACAUCGUGACGGUACCUAAUCAGAAAGCCACGGCUAACUACGUG